rnacentral:rRNA from 1 species
CCUACGGGAGGCAGCAGUGAGGAAUAUUGGUCAAUGGACGAGAGUCUGAACCAGCCAAGUAGCGUGAAGGAUGACUGCCCUAUGGGUUGUAAACUUCUUUUAUAUGGGAAUAAAAUGUUCCACGUGUGGGAUUUUGUAUGUACCAUAUGAAUAAGGAUCGGCUAACUCCGUGCCAGCAGCCGCGGUAAUACGGAGGAUCCGAGCGUUAUCCGGAUUUAUUGGGUUUAAAGGGAGCGUAGGUGGAUUGUUAAGUCAGUUGUGAAAGUUUGCGGCUCAACCGUAAAAUUGCAGUUGAAACUGGCAGUCUUGAGUACAGUAGAGGUGGGCGGAAUUCGUGGUGUAGCGGUGAAAUGCUUAGAUAUCACGAAGAACUCCGAGUGCGAAGGCAGUUCACUGGACUGCAACUGACACGGAGGCUCGAAAGUGUGGGUAUCAAACAGGAUUAGAUACCCGAGUAGUC